ensembl:snRNA U6 U6 spliceosomal RNA
GUGCUCGCUUAGGCAGCAUGCAUACUAAAAUUGGAACGAUACAGAGAAGAUUAUGGCCCCUGUGCAAGGAUGACACGCAAAUUUGUGAAGCGUUCCCCAUUUAA